rnacentral:rRNA from 1 species
UACGUAGGGGGCGAGCGUUGUCCGGAGUACUGGGCGUAAAGCGCACGCAGGCGGUCUGCUAAGUUUGGAGUGACAGUUGGUGGCUUAACUGCCAAAGUGCUUCGAAAACUGACAGACUUGAGGGCUUCAGAGGGACACGGAACUCCAUGUGGAGCGGUAAAAAUGUGUAGAUAUAUGGAAGAACAUCAAUAACGGCGAAGGCAGUUAACUAUUCUGUUACUGACGUUUGAGGCACGAAAGCGUGGGGGAGCAAAAAGG